rnacentral:rRNA from 1 species
GACGAACGCUGGCGGCGUGCCUAAUACAUGCAAGUCGAACGCAGUGGGGACGGGUGAGUAACACGUGGGUAACCUCCCAUAAAAGUGGAUAACACUUGGAAACAGGUGCUAAACCGAUACUGAUGGAUGGACCCGCGGUGUAUUAGGUAGUUGGUGAGGUAACGGCUCACCAAGGCCACGAUGCAUAGCCGGCCUGAGAGGGUGACCGGCCACACUGGGACUGAGACACGGCCCAGACUCCUACGGGAGGCAGCAGUAGGGAAUCUUGGGCAAUGGACGAAAGUCUGACCGAGCAACGCCGCGUGUGUGAAGAAGGCUUUCGGAUCGUAAAACUCUGUUGUUAGAGAAGCGGUAUCUAACCAGAAAGCCACGGCUAACUACGUGCCAGCAGCCGCGGUAAUAC